rnacentral:tRNA from 1 species
UUCCCUGUGGCUCAGUUGGUAGAGCAUGGUGUUUGCAAUGCCAGCAUGGUGUGUGCAACGCCAGGGUUGUGGGUUCGAUUCCCACGGGGGGCA